ACAAACAGAGGCAGAUGGCGGUGGCAUUUCCUUCUUGCCGGGAGCUCAGAUACGAUCUGGACGCUUUUCAGCAGCCUUUGUGUCCACUGCCUCGCAGCGCGGCAGCUUUCCUGGAUGGAGCCCCAGCCACCCAAGCUGCAGACUGAUUUUAUUGAACCAUGAUGGCUUGUGGGAAGUAAUUGAGGUCACUCGGACCUGGCUGGAGGAGAGCCAACCUCGCCGAGGAGAAAGGCUGACAUCGUUCAUCCUUCAGCGGCUCUUCCUUGAGAGGAUUUAUUUUUGGUGACCCAUUUAGGAGGCAGCAUACAAAGCUGUGAUGGUCUUCCAUUAUUGCACUGGACCAACUUUGCUAGACUUGACGAAGUGUCUUCCUGGAAGAUACACAGGAAAUGAUGGGAGUAUGUGACCCCCGGGAACAGUGGAAGGGAUACUCUGACCAUGCUCCACCAUGUCAUUUCCUGGCUACAGAAGAUGGAGGAACUCAUACUGGACACAGGACAGUCAACACAAUUGUGGUACAUAAGUGAGUUUCUCAGUUGAUGCCAGCAAAUCACAAUCUGGUCCACAGCAGAUGC